rnacentral:rRNA from 1 species
AUACGUAGGGGGCGAGCGUUGUCCGGAAUGAUUGGGCGUAAAGGGCGCGUAGGCGGCCCGGUAAGUCUGGAGUGAAAGUCCUGUUUUUAAGAUGGGAAUUGCUUUGGAUGCUGUCGGGCUUGAGUGCAGGAGAGGUAAGUGGAAUUCCCAGUGUAGCGGUGAAAUGCGUAGAGAUUGGGAGGAACACCAGUGGCGAAGGCGACUUACUGGACUGUAACUGACGCUGAGGCGCGAAAGUGUGGGGAGCAAACAGGAUUAGAUACCCUGGUAGUCCACACUGUAAACGAUGAAUGCUAGGUGUAGGGGGUAUCGACCCCUUCUGUGCCGCAGUCAACACAAUAAGCAUUCCGCCUGGGGAGUACGGCCGCAAGGUUGAAACUCAAAGGAAUUGACGGGG